AUUGAACGCUGGCGGCAGGCUUAACACAUGCAAGUCGAGCGGAGCGAGGGUGCUUGCACCUUAGCUUAGCGGCGGACGGGUGAGUAAUGCUUAGGAAUCUGCCUAUUAGUGGGGGACAACAUUCCGAAAGGAAUGCUAAUACCGCAUACGCCCUACGGGGGAAAGCAGGGGAUCUUCGGACCUUGCGCUAAUAGAUGAGCCUAAGUCGGAUUAGCUAGUUGGUGGGGUAAAGGCCUACCAAGGCGACGAUCUGUAGCGGGUCUGAGAGGAUGAUCCUGCUAACUGGGACUGAGACACGGCCCAGACUCCUACGGGGGGCAGCAGUGGGGAAUAUUGGACAAUGGGCGGAAGCCUGAUCCAGCCAUGCCGCGUGUGUGAAGAAGGCCUUUUGGUUGUAAAGCACUUUAAGCGAGGAGGAGGCUACUUAGAUUAAUACUCUAGGAUAGUGGACGUUACUCGCAGAAUAAGCACCGGCUAACUCUGUGCCAGCCGCCGCCGUAA
rnacentral:rRNA from 1 species